GUUUCUCCAAGUGGUUGCAGAUGACAUGAUUUCCUGAAGUGUUACAGCUGAAGUGUGUUUCCUUGUGUACAUGUACUGUGGUUCCUUUAUCCCUUCAUCUGUGGAUAGACAGGUGCAACCGUGUGGUUCCCCAUGAUAUGAUUUCAUUGUGGUUUUCUGUCUGAAGAGUAUCCCGGUGUGAACAUGUGGAACAGUUUCUUUCUCCCUUCGUCUGUGGAUAAGCAGAUGUGGUUAGCCUGAAUUCUGAUGCUCACCAAGGUGUGUAAUGUUGUCCAUGGCCCAGUGCAGAGGAACACAGGUGUUGCCGUCAGACUGCCAGGGUCCGAUCCCGCCUCCGUCACUCACCCCGGGAGCUCCCUUUAAGCUAGGAGUCAACAGCGAGAUGGAAACGCUCAGGGUGGCUCUUCACAUUGAAACCUGCAAGGAUACCACACCUUUCUUUGCAUCCAGAUUGUUUUCUUUGCAAGUAAUUCCAGAAUACUUACUAGAGUCACACCUCAGAGGGACCACCUGCAUCACCUGCAAUACAGAAACAAGACUUCGUGAGGGGUACGUCGUGUUGUGGAUUGUUUGCACAAGGCUUUAUUUCUCUCAAUGAAUACUGAAAACAAGGUCAGAAAGUGUGGUCAAAUUCAAGACCCCCCCAAACAAGGGUAGGAUACACACUAGAAAAGAUAUCAACUUCUGGAUGGUGGAUCCCUCAGGUCCACGUAGCUUGGCAAGUGCAAAAUACUGAAUCCAAGGAGAAGACAUUGCUUCCAAGGACAAGGACCCCAAGGAUACAGUCUACAACCUGAAGCCGUCAGAGGUAAAUGCAAUUUUGGAUUACAUAUCAGUUGCUAAGAGUCGCUUCUUCUGUCCCCUCAGAAAACUGCAUUUAAUAUCUGUAACGGACAUUGUCGUUUUUUCACAUGUAAAGUCAGUUGAACAAGACAGACGCCAAGAAAGGAACAUUUCUAUUUCAGGGAAAGGAAAGCAACCUUACCCUCGUAUUGACCGGCCUAUCUCCAUCUCCUCUGUCCUUGAGAGCUGGAGACUCCUCAGAGGCUAGAAGGACACAGAGCAAUGGUUAAUCAUAGAUGCUUUUGUUCAUGAGUUAUUCAGUGAGCUCUGCUUAAUGUGGACAACACGACAGUGUGUGUGGAUGUGUUUCAUUAAAAGCACAGCUUGAGCUGCUGCUAAAAAAUCUUCCCUCAUUGAAAGACAGAGCGAGGAGCUGAGGAGCGAGAAACAGAGUCCCUGGCAUUUUGCUGAUGGCAACUUAAGGCAACGGGAAUGAGUCAGUCUACAAAUGGUACUGAAGCACACGCUAUAAUCGGAUGAGAGUCCCACUGCUCACACCGUGAGGUUUGAAACCCAGCUAAAUGGUUUUCUAAACCCUGUAAAAUAGUAUUAGCUUAUAGGAUUUAUGUCCCAAGACCAUUUUUACCUCUGUGGAUCCACACUGGCUGUCACUGCAGUUAUUAUGUUUUAGCAUUUUGCACUUGAAUAAAAGCAAAGUUUAGUAGACAGAUUGGAUUCAAUUCUAGGCAAAACAGUCUACUGUAUUUAUUCACUAACCCUUUGUUAUAACUGCUGAUGGAAGAAUUGGAAAUACUGAAGUUAUAUCCUUUAAAAUUAAUUAAAGCAUAAUUAUUAAUCACACAAUAUUUUUCCAUCCAGACCUCCUUUUCUUCGUCAUGCAUGCAUAUUAAUUGAGUAUGGAGAAUAUCUGUGCUUGUUCAGGCCAGCCAACAUUGGACUGUUUAUUUCAAGAGAGGAGACAUGGGUUGAAUGCUGCAGAAAACACACACAGCCAAGCCCAGAUGCCAGUCUUGCUAGCAGCCUUCCUUUACCUUCGAGACCGGGCCAAGGCUCACAGUACUUUGGAAUCUCGUGCUCGAAAUAGUCUGCAUUGGAAGAGGAAUUAAUGGAGAGAGGAGAAAACUUGAGAAUCCACACUACUCACUCUGCAGGGCCAAGAACUCUGUCUCCCGUGCACUGCUGAUCCAUCUCAGUAUUUCCUUUUUUUUUUUUUU